GCUUGUCUCAAAGAUUAAGCCAUGCAUGUCUAAGUGUAAAUAAGUCUAUACUGUGAAACUGCGAAUGGCUCAUUAAAUCAGUUAUCGUUUAUUUGAUGAUCUCUUACUACUUGGAUAACCGUAGUAAUUCUAGAGCUAAUACAUGCACAAAAUCCCGACUUACGAAGGGAUGUAUUUAUUAGAUACAAACCAACAUCGUGGUGAUUCAUAAUAACUGCGCGGAUCGCAUGGCCUUGCGCCGGCGACGCUUCAUUCAAAUUUCUGCCCUAUCAACUUUCGAUGGUAAGAUAGAGGCUUACCAUGGUGUUAACGGGUAACGGGGAAUUGGGGUUCGAUUCCGGAGAGGGAGCCUGAGAAAUGGCUACCACUUCCAAGGAAGGCAGCAGG
rnacentral:rRNA from 1 species